GACGAACGCUGGCGGCGUGCCUAAUACAUGCAAGUAGGACGCAGUUGCGAACGGGUGAGUAACGCGUAGGUAACUACCUAUUAGAGGGGGAUAACUAUUGGAAACGAUAGCUAAUACCGCAUACUAGUAGAUGGACCUGCGUUGUAUUAGCUAGUAGGUAGGGUAAAGGCCUACCUAGGCAACGAUACAUAGCCGAACUGAGAGGGUGGUCAGCCACACUGGGACGGAGAAAAGGUCCAGACUCCGUCGGGAGGGAGCAGUAGGGAAACUUCGGCAAUGGGGGGAACCCUGACCGAGCAAAGCCGCGGGAGUGAAGAAGGUUUUCGGAGCGGAAAGCUUUGUUGUUAAGGAAGCGGUACUUAACCAGAAAGGGACGGCUAACUACGUGCCAGCAGCCGCGGUAAUAC
rnacentral:rRNA from 1 species